rnacentral:misc_RNA from 1 species
ACAACCCUUAUUCAAACAUUUUGUUGGAAUAGACUUGAGCGUAGUAAGUUUAACUUGAGACGCUUUAAAUUCAGUAAGGCCUGAUAUUGUUUCACUGCCUAUAUUAUUUUUAAUUUAAGAAAGAUAGAAGCGAUUGAAGCUGUGGUUAAGGCCUCCCAAAUAAUUUUUUAA